rnacentral:lncRNA from 1 species
UAGGAGCUUCCUAAUAAUAUGUAGUAUGUUUUUCUAGGUCCUAGGGUCAAACUUAUUAAAAAGCAAGCAAUAAUAAGGAAGAUGGAAACCAAAACACAACUUCUAUUAACAAGCUGAUAUAGGAGAAUGCAAUUUGUAUCAGUGGUCUGCAGGUUAUUUGGGGAGACUGGUACAUGCUGCAGUUACCUGGGCUUGACUCCUGGCUGGGGGUAAAGUCAAAUCUGAUCCAUUUUCUUCAAUUAGUAGCUACUCAAGGGUCACCUGGACCAGAAGAUUUCAACAUGUGCGUGUGAUGAAUAUUUAUUGUUUAUAUGUGUCAAGCAUCCUUUCCUCCUUUAUUGGUAACAGUACACCACCUU